AAAGAAGGACCAGCAAAAGAAGAAGGUGAAGGACACGAUGUUUCGCACGCUAUAGACUAUGGAAACGCGGGGUUUUAUCUCGGCUGCCGUGAUGCUAGCGGCAAACCUUACGAAAACGGAAAGGGUUGUGUGCAUUACAUGUAUGGUGCCCGUAGCGAUAAGCAUACAUCGAAGCUUCGUAGCUGCAUAGUUGGAAAGUGCCGGAACGGAAGAUGCAUACAUGAUGGGGGCGCCCGUUGCGGUAUAUACUAAAAUACCCUGCCGAACGGCUGACAAUAAAAUAUUUUUAUAACCUAA
rnacentral:lncRNA from 1 species